GAUGAACGCUGGCGGCGUGCCUAAUACAUGCAAGUCGAGCGAACAGACGAGGAGCUUGCUCCUCUGACGUUAGCGGCGGACGGGUGAGUAACACGUGGAUAACCUACCUAUCAGACUGGGAUCACUUCGGGAAACCGGAGCUAAUACCGGAUAAUAUAUUGAACCGCAUGGUUCAAUAGUGAAAGACGGUUUUGCUGUCACUUAUAGAUGGAUCCGCGCCGCAUUAGCUAGUUGGUAAGGUAACGGCUUACCAAGGCAACGAUGCGUAGCCGACCUGAGAGGGUGAUCGGCCACACUGGAACGGAGACACGGUCCAGACUCCUACGGGAGGCAGCAGUAGGGAAUCUGCCGCAAUGGGCGAAAGCCUGACGGAGCAACGCCGCGUGAGUGGUGAAGGUCUUGGGAGCGUAAAACUCUGUUAUGAGGGAAGAACAAAUGUGUAAGUAACUAUGCACGUCGUGACGGUACCUAAUCAGAAAGCCACGGCUAACUACGUG
rnacentral:rRNA from 1 species